rnacentral:rRNA from 1 species
AUUGAACGCUGGCGGCAGGCCUAACACAUGCAAGUCGAACGAGUGGCGGACGGGUGAGUAAUGUCUGGGAAACUGCCUGAUGGAGGGGGAUAACUACUGGAAACGGUAGCUAAUACCGCAUACCAUCGGAUGUGCCCAGAUGGGAUUAGCUAGUAGGUGGGGUAAAGGCUCACCUAGGCGACGAUCCCUAGCUGGUCUGAGAGGAUGACCAGGCAAACGUGAAAUGAGAAACGGGUCCGACUCCUACGGGAGGCAGCAGGGGGGAAUAUUGGACAAUGGGCGCAAGCCUGAUGGAGCCAUGCCGCGGGGAUGAAGAAGGCCUUCGGGUUGGAAAGUACUUUCAGCGGGGAGGCGUUACCCGCAGAAGAAGCACCGGCUAACUCCGUGCCAGCCGCCGCGGUAAUAC